AGGUGCUAGCUCCUAGAGACCACUCUAAGAUCUCCAAAGAAGACAGAUGGGCAAGUUGAUGCCACCUGGAUCAUGGUGACUCUAACCACUGGAAGGUACUGCCCCAUGCCUCUCCCUCUGUGGGGGCUCUACCCAAACUGUGGAGUCUACCUCUUCUAAGUAAAGUCAGUUUUCCCAGGUACCAUCUCGACGGGAAAAUCUCUCAGACCUAGGUGUGGCAGGCAAAGGCCUAUGCUGUCCUGUGCAACAACUGAAGGUGUAAUGCUGGCCCUUGUGACAGCCGAGACUAACUAUCUCUGACCCCAGCAAAGCCAUCCAGUCCAUGGGAGCCUAGGGUAGCCGGGAAGCCUCUUGUCAUUUUAGUUGGUACAGAGGCCAUUUGGAUUAUACGUCCCUCUAUAAUUUAUCCUCAAAUCUCUGAGGAUAUUGACUGACUGACUGACUGUACCUUUAUGCUGACUAAGCAUACUAACUCAUACUAACUCCAUCCUCAAGGCCGCAGCUGCCUGGCGAGUUCAUUCAUCCCAUACAGAAAGUCAGGCCUUACUUUUCCAGAACUACUGGGUCUGCGGGGACAGACUUCGCACUGAUAGAGAUAAACUCAUAAAACCGGUUUUAAUACAACUCUUUUUUUUUUUUUAAACUAUUCUUUUAUUUGAAGGAACUUGGCUUUGCAAUGGCUGUUUUCAGUAAUCAGGCACUGGCGUCUCGCGUCUCGCGGUAAAUCACUGGCUACGGAAACAAGAUGUCAAGCUUAAGCAAACCGUGAGUGUCUAAGAAAGUGGCUUAAGGUGUGUAAGUGCAAGUUCUAAGGGUCUAAUAAAGUGAUUCAAGGUAUGUAAAAAAUCAAAUGAGAAAAUGUUUCGGAUUUCUUUCCCUCUCUGUGGCAUUUAUGAAGACUUCAAAAGUUCCGAGUUUUAACAUCAAUCAAUGGAGAUCUGAGAAACUACUAAUCUGAUUCUGGUGAGGCAAUGAAUCUACUGCUGCUACUAUCAUAGUCAUAAGCUCAAAUUUUGAAUACCUUUGGUUGUCUUCUAAGUAUAGACUUAAAUGUCUUGGCGUACAGGUAAUUUCUCUGGCCUGCUCCCAGGGACCUAGCGAUUGCUUACCUGCUGCGACCAUCUGCCACUGCCAGGUGUGCCAGAUGUGGCGGUGAUGGAUAAAAGGACCCUCCUGCCACCCCCAGCUAUCUCUCUGUGCUUUGCGUUCCCUGUCUCUGGUCUCCACACCUGUCUCCUCCCUGCCCCACCCCACCCCCACAUUCAUUCUCUCCCUGCCCCCUCUCUCUACCCUUAUGGCUGCCUGCCUACAUGUCUGCUUGUCUGCCACUGUCCUUCCUCCCAGGUUCUCACUCCUCCCACUUCCCUCAAUCAACGUCUUCUACGCCAGAUCUUUUGCAUGGUGUACGUUUUCAGGUUUUAGCAUGGGCCUGCCAAAGAUACCCUAGCCAUUCCUGGGCACCCCCCAGGCACACUUUAUAACAUUGGUGCUGUGACCUUGGAGGGACUCUCCUGGUGUCUGGCCACACUGGAACCCCACCUGACCGCUACACCUGUAAUAGAUCUGCUUUCCGGUCCACAGAUCAUUAGGCACUCCACUCAACACCAACAGUUCAUGAGUUCUGUUUAACUCACUUUAAAUGCUUCUCUGAGUCUGACCAUUUUCCUGGAGGAGGCUACCUUUCUCUUGCCCUCUUGGUUUCUCUUGAGAACCCUGGUAUCAGGUACCAGACGGUUGUGUCUGCUCGGGCUUAGCCCUGACCCCUGUCCACUGAAUGACAAUUCACUGGACAACUUUUGCCCUCAGUCUGGUUUCCUUUGGGUCCCUUGCAUCUUGCCUUGGACCCAGGCCUGGGACUCCUCUCAUCUGUGGGAACUGCUUCCUCUUACCUCACAUCUAAACGAGUUGAACCUGACCUCAAGAUAUUGCCCAAGUGAUCGGGGGUGGGGGUGGGGGGAGAAUAAAACACUUCUCUUUUCCGUAUUCCUUAUUUCUCGCUCCAAGCCCUGCUUGCUUCUGUCUGGUGUCCCUCCCCACAUUGAGUAAAAGUCUUGCCUGUAAGUUUGCAACAACUGGGAGUUGGAGACAGAGGAGCAGAAACUGAAGCUCACUCUUUCCCUGCAGCGUCUGUUCAGAACCACUCCUGAGCCUUCCUGGGCCCAACAACAACACCCCGAUUUCAGCAGGAAGCAGUUAUGGAGGAGAUUAACUAGCCCUAUAUCAUCAACAAAAGGCUGAAAAUGGUAAGUCUCAAAGAAACCCAGGGCAAAUGGCUGAAGAGCCUCGUUAACAAACCCCAGUGGACCAUCCACUCUCAGAAUCAUCCUAGUUGGCAUACCCCACCCUUGACCCUAAACCUAUCCAACCCCUGGGCUUCAUUCCCUUCCCCUCCUCCAGCUUCUUCCAUCCCUAAAUAUCCUCUUGGCUCUUCCUGCUGCGCCUGGACUCUCUUUCACCCUUUGCCAUUUUUUUCUCCCAUUUCUCGUCCUCUCUCGUUCUCAUCCCCUCCCCCAGGGCUGUGUCCAGUCUGGAUCCUUCCAGACUCCCCUGCAUCUUUCACCCUUGUAUCUAAAAUCGGCUCAACCAAACCUUGAAGUCAUGCCCUCAUUUUUAAAUGCAACCGGGCGGGUUCUGGUUUCCGGGUGCAGCCUUGCUGUAGUGGGGCUCCCAGCUGAGCUACUUUUACAGGCCUAGAAGACACUAUUUUUUUUUUUUUUUUCUAUGCUCAUCACAUUCCCCUUUGGUUUUUUUCUUAGUCUCCUUGGUUGUCACUCUGGCUUCCUCUCUGCCCCCACACCCUCUCUUCCUUUCUAUAAUAUGUUACUUUCCCUCCCUGUCCUGGACUCUCUGGACUCUCUGGCUAUUCUCUCUCAUAUCUACACUAAAGUCCUUCUUCUUAACCCUACCUUGGAGCUGCCAUACCCCCACUUUAUAGACGAGGUCUCACUAAGUUGCCCAGGCUGAAUUCAUUCAGUUAGCCUGGCCUUGGACUGUGCCCUUCUUUUUCAGCCUCUGAGGUAUCUGGGAUGUCAGGUCUGCUCCACCAAGCUCAUCCUGGCACCAAUUCUACGGUGGGAAAACACUGGAAAAACACACUUUGAAAUCCAACCUGCUAAUCUCUGGGCUUUUGAUCUGAGGGCUCUGAGUCUCCUCCUGCAAACAGGAACACAGGAAGGCUUGUCUGGCCUCUGAGAACAAGGAAAGGAGGCUGUUCUGGACGAAGGACUUCAGGCUGCCUCUCUGCUGCUUCCCAUCCCUCAGGAAGGGAAGCAAUGGCAGGGAGACCAAAGGGCAAAGAAAGGUCAGAGCCUGCUGUGAGGUCAUAUCCAACUUUGGGGAAAAGAUGGGGACUGUGGGGCUCAGGCAAGUGGCGCACACCUUUAAUCCCAGCACACAGGAGGCAGGCGGAUUUCAGCCUGGUCUACAGAGUGAGUUCUAGGGCAGCCAGCCGCACACAGGGAAACCCUACCUAGAAAAGCCGGAAAAAAGGGUGGGUUAUGGCCAGAGCCAUGCCCUUGGCCUUUGAUUCACUUUAUAGGAGCACAAUGCUGACACCCGGAGCUGCUCGGGGACUACAGACUCAUGUUCAGUCGCCUUUGCCGUCUUCUCAGGGGACAGCAGACUGCCGCUAAGGAAGGGAGCCAGAUUCACAUCACUUGUGAUCCAAAGGCUAGGUAGGCACUUGGGUGAGUUUGGGAAGACCAAGGACUGUGGGAGGACUGGAAGCUGAAGCCAUGGAGGACUGUAGAGCAGCAGUUUGGCUCCAGUCCAAGGCUGAGGAGGCAAUGGGAGGAGCUUAGACUCUCUCUUUGAUCUCUGUGGUCAGGAAGAUCAAUUACCAUGUGCCUAGCCUCAGUUUACCUUCUGUUGGAGGGGUGCGGUAUGCUGGAAAGAGGUCCCAGCUUUGAAGGAAGAAUCCUUCUCCAGUUCCCUAGAAGCAGAGAGAGAAGCUCUCUCGAUGUAGUCCAGGCUGAUACCUAACUUAGCAAUGCUCCUGCCUCAGCGUCUUGAAUACUAGUAUGACAAGCAUAAGCCGCUGCACUCACCUCUUUCUAGCCUGUGUCCUCAGAACUGCCUUUUCCACCCAGAGCGCCCUGCCCCCAGCAUCCCCUCCACAUCAGCUCAGAGACAGGAGCCAGGUACAUGGCUGGCUCCACCCCAUCAGUGCCAUUCCUGUGACUGGCACCGCUUUCUUCCUGUUCUGUCCCUGUGCCAAGGAACACUGGCAUUAGGAGUCUCAGGGCAGUUUAUCAGAGUAGCUGCCACAUUGAAAUCUCCAACAGAGGAUCGGGAUCCUCCCCCCCCCCUGCCCCCCAUGACAGCUGCAGGUUUCUGAGGGCCCCCUAGGCUGAUAUGGAAGCCAAGGAUACGGGAACAGGAAAAUCCGGUUACAUCCAGCCCAAUUCUGCCUUUCAUCUACUCUUGUUACUGGAAUCAGUAGCAGGGAGAGAGCUGAGGAUCUGAGAGGUGAAGCGGAGAUUGGGGUUAAGAGGUCAACCAGCAGGGCAGGAUGGUAGUCGGUGUGCAGGGAGUAGGGCUAUGGGGGUGCUGGGCGAACACAGGGCUGGUGAGCCGGGAGCUUGGGAGACCCAGGGACUGGAAAAACUAAGGUCUGGGAUCCCGGGAUCUGGAGGACUCAGGACCUGAAGGAACUAGCUGGGGACUUGAGGCUGGGACUCCAGAGUCUGGGAGAACCAGGGUCUCUUCUCAGCAAUGGCAUCUCCUUCCAGAGAGCCCUGGGGUGGGGUCAGAGACCAAUGCAUCCAGUUCCUGGAUCCCUAGGGCUCGUCAGGAUUCAGGGGACCUGCCCCCAACCUCCUCACCUGUACUCACCUCUUCUGGCUGUGGUAACAGGGAAAUGACCUAGGAAUGGACGAACCGCAGCGUGGCUCUGCGGACUGGACGGCAGUGUGUAUCUUCCAGCUUGGCUCUUCGUUCAGGACCAAGGAAACUUCCUGAGUUUAACCACAGCCCUGGAUAGAAACUCCACCCAGGGUGUACCUGCUGACAUCCUAGAACCAGAGAGGCUGGACCCGGAGGAGGCAGUCAAAGCCAGGGCCGAGCUGAUGAGCACCAAGAAAUGCCUCUCUACAUACACGGAACCUGUCGGCAGCUUCUGACCCUCCUGUGUGGCGCACCGUAGACCACCGACCUGGCUUCUGGGAAUAUGGGACAAGAACUGCACAGAACCUCUAAAGAGCCCAAGGACAUGCCAGGCAACGGUGGCCCGUGUAUGUAAUCCCAGCACUCGGAGACAGAACUCGGAGUUUGAGAACAGCCUGGUCUACAGAACAAGUUCCCAGACAGCCAGGGCUACACAGAGAAACCCUGUCUCAAAAUAACGAAAACAAGAACCCGCAGACAGCAAUAAACAACCUGGAGCUGCGUGGGUGUGUAAGACAAUAACCAAGAUGCAGAAUACUAACCAAGGCAUGGGAACCACCCCAAGUUCCUUGGUUUGGGAUAUAUGUACAUAUGUAUAACUCACACACACACACACAUAUCAUAUGUAUUACAUAUAUAUCGCUAUAUAUAUGUAAUAGUUUAGUCCUCUAUAAUCAACUUUUAGGGAGUCCAGGCUGACUUUAGACUUGGAGUCCUCCUGCCUGUCUCCAAAGUGCUGGGAUCACAGAUUGGGCCAUGUAAUACUUCAUGUAGAUCUUGGUUAUGCUUAAACCACAGCUUCCAACACCACAAUGCUGAUGCCAAGUGCCUCUGCUGGGGCUCUGCUCUCAGGCCCCAGAUGCAGGCUCACAAGUGGGGGGACAGCUCUGCCACUCUCUCUGUCCGCAGGUCCCACAGUCCUCAGCCUCUGCCAACUGAACGGCUCCUCUGGUCACUAAGCAUCCAGUUCACUCAGCAUCAUUUAUGAUGUGUUGGGUGUCAUAGGAGCAGGGCGGGAGAUCUCAGACUUAGGAAACACAAGCAGUGCCCAGCUUGAGUUCUUUCUCUUGUUGCCUUUGUUGGACAGGGGGAGAAGGCAGGGCACAAGGAGGGAGCCUGAGGGUUCUGCUCCCCACCGCAGCACCUCGCCACUCCCAUGGUAAUGACAAGAGCGGCUGGCGCUGUGCUUUUGCACGUGACCAUCUGAUACUCUGCAAUACAAAGACAUGGAACACAUGUACUACUGUGAGAUGAACCUUGGAACAGAGUCUGACAUAAAAGAUGCUGUUGUCUGAUUCUACUGGAGCAGAGAUCCAAGCCAGGCAAGUCCACAGAAACACACCUCGGAGCCAGGGGAGAGGGAGCAGGGGGGAUCACCAGGUUUCUUUGGGAAGUGUAAAAUGGAAAGUUCUAGAACUUGAAAAUGAUGGUCGCCUAUUAUGAAUGUACUAAAAAUGACUGUACUUAGCAUCUUAAGAUAGUGAAUUUUAUCUCAAGGAAAAAUGUAUAUGAUAAAGGUAUAACUUUUGAAAGAUUUGUGUGUCCAUGUGUGGGUCUGUGCACAUGAAUGUGAAGAUGUCUGCUAAGGCCAGAGGAGGGUAUUGGAGCUCCUGGAGAUGAAAUUGGUUCUAAGUCACCCUGAGUUAUUACUGGAAACCAAAUUUGGCCUUCAGGGAGAACAGCAAGAACUCUUAACUACUAAGCCAUCUCUGUGGCCCCAACAGUGUAUCUGUUAUCACCUGACCUGACCCAGAUCCCAUACACUGCAGUGUAUCUGUUAUCACCUGACCUGCUCGCCUAGCCCCAUCUCCCACCUGCACUCAAGCUCUUUCCCUGUCUUCUCCCUAUCAUGCAUCCCCAUAGCUUCUGUGGCGCCCAGGAUUGGGCUCUUGAAGUCUCAGGACCUGCCUAGCUUUGAUCCCAUGACGCUGACCCUUGGCAUCUUCCUGAUGAAAACUGUUCCCGAAUCUGGCUCUCGCCUCCAGAUUCUGGUUCUUGGGAACCCGAUCCCAGUGAUGUGAGCUGCACAUCGCCUCUGCCUUCUCUAGGCAUCAAGGCAGGGAAGGCUGCUGAGAAGUGGAAAACAGAGGGAGGUAAACCUACCUUGUUCACUCUUGACACCCCAUCCCUCUGCUCCUGGUGCCUCUGGAGACCUCUUCAGACACCAAAGGCCUGCAAUCCUUUCUCCAGAGCUGUUUCAUACCCACACUGUACCUUGAAUAAAUACACUAAUAAAAUUGACUUUGGACGGAGAAGAAAGCUGAGGCCCAGAGAGAUU